ensembl:lncRNA
GGGAAAAGCUGUAGACGUUGUUUGAGUGUGCAUGUGUGUGGAGGCUAUCUGUGUGUGGGUGCCGAUACGAAGAUGUUUUAAAAAGUGCUGAAAGUAAAACCAAUGACUCUGAAUAAUGUGCUGCUGGUUACCUUCCGAUGGCGAUAACACAUGUAAAAUGUUUCAUCAAAGGUUCCAGCGCUGCUAAUUACCCGGCUGCCUGGAGACCGUCAAUGCCCGGUUCUUCAUUUGAAUUCUGCUUCAGUUCAAUUUAAAAGGCAUUUCUAAUUCAGUUCUGAAUGGCGCACAACCCUGAUGUCGAAGCAUGUCUCAUCCACUUUUUACACAAUAAAAUAUAAAUCUCUCUGCCAAAGCAACACCAGCCCCCUCUUACUCAUUCCUCCAGUGGUUGUAGGCAUAGACUCGGGGUGUUUUGAACACACUGAUGACAAUUACGAGCUGUAAGAGUGUCGCUCGUUCCUCACUGGUGCUGUAGGAUUUUGGACAGAGACACAGUAGGGGAAUUCACCAGAUGGUUCAGGCAGAACCAAUCCAUUCCUUUCUGGGCCGAUGCAAUUCACGAAGCCACCGUUUAUGGCAAGUGUACACCGACCUCAGGGUCUGUGCUGGUAUUGAUAGUUGUGAUUAUAGACAGUUUGAGUAGGCGGUCAUGAAGAGUGACCCACCUGCAUGUGUCAGUUCUCAACUGACAGUUUCUGAUAACCUUUUGGCUCUUACACCAAAAGGCUCAGGGGCUUUGAGUGAUGGUUUGUUUGUCACGAGUUAAGCUCCUCCACAGUUCCAUUUGAUAAGCUGGCAGGUGACUCAUGUGAACACUAUGGAUUUACAUGCUCAGAGGUCUUUCAAUUUGGAGCGGCAGCACUUUGAUCUGCACAGUACAUCUGCGACAUUACUUUGCUACAGCUCUGCCUGCUAGCCUCAUUGACACAGGAGAGAUCUGGCAUCUAUAACAUCAAUUUAUCUCCAAACAUAAUGUCCCAUCAUGUUCAGUUGAAGCCAUUUCUCUGGUGCAAAGUGACUGAUCAUGAAAGACCUUUGAGUACAAACAAUUUGACUGGACUGGAUCCCUAAAUGUGAACAAACAGUGCAGUUGUUGAGAUUAGGAGCAACAAGAGUGAAAUUUGCAAUUUGAUGGUUUUCACUAUCUUGUGUACUGCCAGCACCUGCCUUUGCACUCCAUGCAGAGCAAGAGCCAAGCAUAACAGAUGCAAACAUGGAAGAAUUAUUAGUAACCUUGUUGUAAUGGGUCACAAUAGAGUGGCAACCUCCCGCUCUCUCUCGUGAAGCCAACACGGCCUGGUUCAAAAAAUGAUUUUGGUCUAUAUAGCUAAUUUUGCCCUUCAUGACAACUGUGAGGGGGGUGAAUUUGUUUUAUACCUCAUCCGUUUAAAUUAUAUUAAGCCUUAAAGUUCUGCAUAAUUAAGGACAUGGCCACUUGAGUGACAGGUGGAUUGCCGCUGCUGACACUGCCGUCGAGCUAGGUGGGUGUGGCUUCAGCGACCAACUCCCGCCUUUUUGCCCAUUUUCGAUUAUCUGGGAGUGACGCGCUGCCAAGAUGGCGACGGCCCGUUCCGCCCACUAUGUGCUUCAAAUGCGCUCUUCAGAAAUCUGCGGGUGAUGUCACGGACACGUCCAUGUUUUUAUACAGUCUAUGGUCACAAUGCAUGAUGCUAAAUGUCCCCAGACCAAUUCUAGCUGCCAAACUGUGCUUGUGCUUUGAAAAUGCUGUUGUCCCCGAGGCUCAGAGUCUUCUGCAAGCCUGCAGCGCCCUCUUGUGGUAGAAUUUAAAACACUUUAACCCACAUGUUCUGGCUGUGCUAUCUAUGCUGAAUAAAAGUAUUAAAUUCUUUAAAAUUUUGAAUGGUAGUGUAUACUAUGGUAUUUACAUGGUAAUCUAGGGUGCAUCAAAGAAUACCAAGGUAGUACUAUGCUAAAUGUCCAAACAAACAUUGCAUUAUGGUACUGUGUCCAAAUACAUGGUACAUAAUGCAUUUAACUGUAUAAUGUUUCGUUUUGUUUUCAUUAACAAACCCUGAAGAUAAUAUUGCACUUUGCUUUCAUGCCGUAUUGUAUACUUAUGAGACAUUUACUUUAUAAUAAAGCAAAAACGUAUCCUGUGUAUUCAGUUUCCAUCUCUGUGUUAUUUGCAGUGAAUGCACAGCUCUCUUACGUUGC